UACGUAGGGUGCAAGCGUUGUCCGGAAUUAUUGGGCGUAAAGAGCUUGUAGGCGGCUUGUCACGUCGACUGUGAAAACCCGGGGCUCAACUCCGGGCCUGCAGUCGAUACGGGCUGGCUUGAGUGCGGUAGGGGAGACUGGAAUUCCGGGUGUAGCGGUGAAAUGCGCAGAUAUCCGGAGGAACACCGGUGGCGAAGGCGGCUUCCUGGACCGACACUGACGCUGAGGCGCGAAAGCUAGGGGAGCAAACGGG
rnacentral:rRNA from 1 species